rnacentral:rRNA from 1 species
UGAAUUACUGGKGAACCGGUGAGUAACACGCAGACAACAGGACCAACACCCGGGGACAAGCCCUGGAAACCGGGGCCAAUACUGACGCAGACGAGCCAAAGCCCGGGCAGCGAACAGGAUGAAAAACCCCGGCAGUCCACGACGAAAACGCGGCCCACCAGCUUGUUGGCGACAUACCACGUCGGCGGUCACCAAGCSAACGCAMRAAGUACCCCGCCUGAGAGGGAGAACGGCCACAAGGCGAAAAASAAAAGGAACAGACGCCGACCCGAACAAGCAGCGGAGAAUAUGGCACAAUGCGACAAAACCCGAAGAACCKAACCAACGCUUGACAGACAACGGAAACAUCCAGAGAUGGAAACCCCCUUCAGCACGGAAGAAAGGUGGUGCAUGGCUGUCGUCAGCUMGUGUCGUGAGAUGUUSGGUUAAGUCCCGCAACGAGCGCAACCCUUGUCCCGUGUUGCCARCAGGCCCUUGYGGUGCUGGGSACUCMCGGGAGACCGCCGGGGUCAACUCGGAGGAAGGUGGGGACGAYGUCAAGUCAUCAUGCCCCUUAUGUCUUGGGSUGCACACGUGSUMCAAUGRCCGGUACAAUGAGSUGCGAUMCCGUGAGGUGGAGCGAAUCUCAAAAAKCCGGUCUCAGUUCGGAUUGGGGUCUGCAACUCGACCCCAUGAAGUCGGAGUCGCU